AAAACAUGGGAGAAAUGAAGAGGAGUGUCUGACAGAUUUUGCAAGAUGGCAAUUAGCUGGGACGUGUCCUUGCUGGGUUCAUCCAGAUGAGAAGUGACAUGGACUGGUACUAAACACUGAAAGGAGGAAUGCUGCAGAGAUCCUUGAUUUUCAUUUGUCUUUGUCUGAAGAUGUAAAAUACAUUUGCCAUAUUUACCAUUUCAAGCUAAUUUCUCAAUAUAUUCAUUUAUUCAUUUGGGAUAUAGGAUUGUGAAGGGCUCUGCUGACUUUCAGACACUGCUAUUAAAAAUGGAGAUAAACCUGC